CUCUUCCUGAAUGAAUAGGAAGUAGGAUCUGCUCCAUGCAAAAAAGUAAAUUGCCGCAGUAUUUUGACUGUGCUAAGGUAGCAAAAUAAUUUGGCUUUUAAUUGGAGUCUGGAAUGAAUGAUCUGACAAGGUCUACUCUGUCUCAUCUGAAAAAAUGAAAAUUGGAUUGUUUGUAAAAAUACAAACAUAAAAGAGAGGGACGAAAAGACCCUAUAGAUCUUUACUUUGUUUAGUCUACUAUAUCAUUGAGAAUUAGAUAAAUAUAGUUUGCUUGGGAUAAGACUAAAAUUGAAUUUUGGUAAGAGAUAAAGAUAGAUUAGUCGAAUGGAUGAAUAAAUAAAAGAUAAGUUACCUUAGGGAUAACAGGAUAAUUCCUUUAUUUAGAACUUAUAGGUAAAGGAGUUUAUUACCUCGAUGUUGAAUUAAGUUAUCUCUCGCUUGUAGAAGGGCGUUGAGUCAGUCUGUUCGACUGUUGAAAACUU
rnacentral:rRNA from 7 species